rnacentral:rRNA from 1 species
UACAGAGGUCCCGAGCGUUGUUCGGAUUCACUGGGCGUAAAGGGUGCGUAGGUGGCUAGGUAAGUUUGAUGUGAAAGCUCUGGGCUCAACCCAGAAAUGGCAUUGAAUACUAUCUAGCUAGAGGAGUGGAGGGGGGACUGGAAUACUUGGUGUAGCAGUGAAAUGCGUAGAUAUCAAGUGGAACACCAGUGGCGAAGCGAGUCCCUGGACACUUCCUGACACUGAGGCACGAAAGCUAGGGGAGCAAACAGG